rnacentral:rRNA from 1 species
UGGGGAAUUUUGGACAAUGGGCGCAAGCCUGAUCCAGCCAUGCCGCGUGCAGGAUGAAGGCCUUCGGGUUGUAAACUGCUUUUAUUCGGGAAUAAACCUAUCUACGUGUAGAUAGCUGAAUGUACCGAAGGAAUAAGGAUCGGCUAACUACGUGCCAGCAGCCGCGGUAAUACGUAGGGUGCGAGCGUUAAUCGGAAUUACUGGGCGUAAAGCGUGCGCAGGCGGUUAUAUAAGACAGAUGUGAAAUCCCCGGGCUCAACCUGGGACCUGCAUUUGUGACUGUAAAGCUAGAGUACGGUAGAGGGGGAUGGAAUUCCGCGUGUAGCAGUGAAAUGCGUAGAUAUGCGGAGGAACACCGAUGGGGAAGGCAAUCCCCUGGACCUGAACUGACGCACAUGCACGGAGGCGUGGGGAGCAAACA